AUUGCUUUACCAUUUAACAGACAAUAGAGAGCAGCCCUUGGGAAAACAGUGAAAGCGAGGCUAUUAACUUUUCACAGUUGAAACCUCUUAGAUAUGGCAGGUUCUGAGAGCUCCAAGGCUGAAACCACUGGUGUUUGUCAAAAAGAAGGGUCCUACAUUAAUAAAAUUCUGCUCACUCUUGAACUAUGGUCAAGUCAAGCUACAGUCAAGACCGGAGGAAGAAGAAGAAGUUAAAGCUGCUUUGUUAAGCCAAAUACAGAGAUUGACAAAGAGGACAUUCCUUUGGGGAAGAAGAGGUCAGGUUGCAUUAACUGUUGUUUUCCUCUUGUUUCUUUGAGUUUGUGAUAUUGCAUUUAGUUGUAUAUGCAAAUAUUCUAAUAUAAUUCUUUAUAUUUGUUUCAAGCAUAUAUCUGUAAUUGUAUACUAAGGGGCCAUUUACUAAACACUUACCGGUAAGUGCUUACUGGAUAAAUUUCUUCAUUGGAUGAACAUAAGAAGGGCCAAGAAUCUUACUGGAUAAGAGCGAUGAGAAGGAUGAAGAGUCUUACCUG